rnacentral:rRNA from 1 species
CGCGGUAAUUCCAGCUCUAAUAGCGUAUAUUAAAGUUGUUGCAGUUAGAACGCUCGUAGUCGGAUUUCGGGGCGGGCCGACCGGUCUGCCGAUGGGUACGCACUGGUCGGCGCGUCCUUCCUUCCGGAGACCGUGCCUACUCUUAACUGAGCGGGGGCGGGAGACGGAUCGUUUACUUUGAAAAAAUCAGAGUGUUUCAAGCAGGCAGCUCGCUCUUGCAUGGAUUAGCAUGGGAUAAUGAAAUAGGACUUUGGUGCUAUUUUGUUGGUUUCGAACACCGAAGUAAUGAUUAAAAGGGACAGUCAGGGGCACUCGUAUUCCGCCGAGAGAGGUGAAAUUCUCAGACCAGCGGAAGACGAACCACUGCGAAAGCAUUUGCCAGGGACGUUUUCACUGAUCAAGAACGAAAGUUAGGGGAUCGAAGAGGAUCAGAUACCCUCGUAGUCUUAACCAUAAACCAUGCCGACUAGGGAUUGGAGGAUGUUCACUGAUUGACUCCUUCAGCACCUUACGGGAAACUAAAGUCUUUGGGUUCCGGGGGGAGUAUGGUCGCAAGGCUGAAUCUCAAAGGAAAUGACGG